UACGGAGGGGGCAAGCGUUAUUCGGAAUUAUUGGGCGUAAAGGGCGCGUAGGCGGCUAGAUGUGUCAAAGGUGAAAUCCCUCGGCUCAACUGAGGAACUGCCUUUGAAACUGUCUGGCUUGAGGCCGGGAGAGGGUAGCGGAAUUCCCAGUGUAGCGGUGAAAUGCGUAGAUAUCAGGAGGAACACCAAUUGCGAAGGCAGCUCGCUGGGACGUUACUGACGCUGAGACGCGAAAGCGUGGGGAGCGAACAGG
rnacentral:rRNA from 1 species